rnacentral:lncRNA from 12 species
UCGUACGCUGCCAUGAGCUAUACGUGUUGGAGGAAAGCACCAGAAAUCAAAGUGAAAGAAAGAGAUGAGAUGAGAUGAAACUGUGCCGCCUGGGCCCGCGUGCUGAGGGACACCUGCUUCCACUGCGGCUAGAGAAGGAGCCCCGGCCCUGUGCUAAGACCAGACACCCAGCGGUGCUGGGCUCCUCACUCAGGUAUCCCCGGAACCCAGGACUACGCCCUGUGUGAGUUGCCCACAAACAGGGGAUGAAGAAAUGAUGAGUGGGUGUGAAAAGGAUAUCACCUACAGACAAUGCUCUACUGCUUAGAAGACAAAUAUGCGUGGUCGAGAAAUAAAGGAAAGAACCCUACGUCUUGAGUACCUGCCAUGUGCCAGGCAUGGGGCAAUGUCCUUAAAAGAGGGCAGCAUCCUUCACAUCCAAAUGACGAGGCUUGAAAGAAAACCCUACAGAGGAGACACAUUGACUAAAAUUCAUCUUAAAGACUCUCGGGCUUGUUUACAGCAGUGCUUUUUGAUAGCAGAGGGCCUAGAGAGGGAGGGGCAGGACGAUUACGAGAGUCCAGCAAGGGAGACGGGCAAGAGGGGUGAGGACAGAACCAGACUCACGGAAGGGGGGGUUGGGACGUCAGACAUGCCAACGACUUGGCCCUGGGAAACUCUGCAGAGAAGUCGGGGAAGGUGGAAAUCUGGAAGCAUUCAUCAGAUUGGGUGGCUGGGGAAGCUGUUAAUAGUUGGGCGCAAACAGGGCACAUGUUUGAUUUCUGCAGCACAGUGCCCCCAGGCCCGGACUCCUUGCUGGCCGGGUGCUUUGCCCUCAGCCCCGACACGAUAAGCGUGGGCUUUGGCUGGACGCUGACCAGAGGCUGAGCAGGCGAAGGCCACGCACAGGCUGGCGGCGGUGCCGGGAGGAGGCCUGGUUCAAAGCAAAGUUACUGGUUAUUGAAGCCCUCUCUGCGCAGGACUGGACUCUGCUGUGUGAAGUAGGUGGAGCCGCUGGAGGUGAGGCGAACAUAGCACAAGAGGAGGAGCGAACGCUCGAGCAAGAGGGAGAGACGGAGGCUACGAAUGCCGACGACAGAGACAGAGCGAGCCAGCGGGCUGGGUAAGGCCCGGUCCCCAAGCGUCUCUGGGCUGCAGAGUGCCUGGGCGAGGAUGAGCGCGGGCUUUAUUGAGAGGUUUUGUGGCAAAGGAAAGGAAGCUUGUGUUGGAGCGGGAGGAAGGCCAAGUAGCAGGCGCGCGGCCGACGAGAACCCUUCUCUCAAUCGCAGCGUCGGGUAGAGCCUCGAGGAGGGAAACCGGGAAACAGAGAUUCUCUGGGGGUGUCAGAGUUUCCCCCAUGUGGCCUCCUCUUUCCCCCCGUGCAGGGGGCUGUGAGGUACCGUCUUGGAAGCCACAACACAGUUUGCCAAACCCUGAUCUAAAAACUGCCUUGGGCCCAGGGCGUGACCCCAGGGCCUGGAUCGAGUCCCAGCUCGGGCUCCCUGAAAGGAGCCUGCCUCUCCCUCUGCCUGUGUCUCUGCCUCUCUCUCUGUGUCUCUCAUGAAUAAAUAAAUAAAAUCUUUUUAAAAAUUAAGUAAA